rnacentral:lncRNA from 1 species
AAAUGACACAAACAAAUUUUAACAAACACAUAAUACAAUACAAAUUACUAUAAAGCAAAAUAGCUGAAUAGUAGAUAUAUAGAAUUCAUGAAAUUUUUAGGCACUUAUGGUUUAGGCACAAUAGGUAACUCUGGCUUAGGAAUUUGAGGUAUUUGAGGCACAGUUGGAAUUUGAGGAAUUUGAGGGAUAGUUGGUACAACAGGAAUAUCAGGAAUUGGAACACCUAAAUUUGGAAUUGGUGGCAAUUGUGGUUCUGUAAGUGGCAAUGGAAGAGUAGGUAGUGGUGGCAAUGGAAGAGUAGGUAGUGGUGGCAACUCAACUUUGGAAACUUCAACCACUUUGUGUAGGUCACGUGCCCCUUCAACAUUUGUCAUUGAUGAAAAAGUUAUGAGUAGAAGUGGUAAAAUGAAUGACCAGAAAUUGAUGGAAGCCAUUUUUUUGGAGCUAGAGCUUGAUAUUUG